UUAAAACGUCUGCUUCCAAGAUGUUGUCUAGUAAUGUAACAGUAAGAUGUUCAAGAGGAGAUUAUUUGAUGUGGACAGUUAAACAUGAUGUCAAAGCUGAAAACUUUUUGUAUUUACAUCUACAGUACAAAAUUCUUUGUUUUAAAUAAAAAAUAGCUGUUUACUUUUGCUCAUCUCAUAUGUCUGCUACUUCCAGUUGUAUAUCAUGAUUGCUGAAAGGAGCUAAUUCUCUUUAAACUUGAGAUUCUACCGGGAUGGAAAUGCUUGCUCUGAACUUCCAUCUCUUGGAAAUGUAUUUAUCAUCUUGCUCCAAAUUAUCUGAUUAUUGGUAUUCUUAUUAUGUCUCUUAAA